rnacentral:rRNA from 1 species
AGAGUUUGAUCCUGGCUCAGGAUGAACGCUGGCGGUAUGCUUAACACAUGCAAGUCGAACGAAAGUUUUUAACUUUAGUGGCGAACGGGUGCGUAAUACGUGAGAAUCUGCCCUUAGGAGGAGAAUAACUUCUGGAAACGGUUGCUAAGUCUCCAUAUGCCGAGAGGUGAAAUAGUUUUACUGCCUAAGGAUGAGCUCGCGCCUGAUUAGCUUGUUGGUAAGGUAAUGGCUUACCAAGGCCACGAUCAGUAGCUGGUUUGAGAGAACGAUCAGCCACACUGGGACUGAGACACGGCCCAGACUCCUCCGGGAGGCAGCAGUGAGGAAUUUUCCGCAAUGGGCGAAAGCCUGACGGAGCAAUACCGCGUGAGGGAUGAAGGAUUUUGGUCUGUAAACCUCUUUUCUCAAGAAAGAAGUUCUGACGGUACUUGAGGAAUAAGCAUCGGCUAACUCCGUGCCAGCAGCCGCGGUAAUACGGGGGAUGCAAGCGUUAUCCGGAAUCAUUGGGCGUAAAGCGCCUGUAGGUUGUUUACUAAGUCUGUUGUUAAAGACUAGGGCUUAACCCUAGAAAAGCAGUGGAAACUGGUAGACUUGAGUUUGAUAGGGGUAGAGGGAAUUUCUAGUGUAGCGGUGAAAUGCGUAGAUAUUAGAAAGAACACCGGCGGCGAAGGCGCUCUACUGGAUCAUUACUGACACUCAGAGGCGAAAGCUAGGGUAGCAAAAGGGAUUAGAUACCCCUGUAGUCUUAGCCGUAAACGAUGGAUACUAGAUGUUGCAUCUCUAUGCAGUGUCGUAGCUAACGCGUUAAGUAUCCCGCCUGGGGAGUACGCUCGCAAGGGUGAAACUCAAAGGAAUUGACGGGGGCCCGCACAAGCGGUGGAGCAUGUGGUUUAAUUCGAUGCAACGCGAAGAACCUUACCAGGGUUUGACAUCCUGCGAACCUCUUAGAAAUUUGAGGGUGCCUUCGGGAAUGCAGUGACAGGUGGUGCAUGGCUGUCGUCAGCUCGUG